rnacentral:rRNA from 2 species
CACACGACUCUCGGCAACGGAUAUCUCGGCUCUCGCAUCGAUGAAGAACGUAGCGAAAUGCGAUACCUGGUGUGAAUUGCAGAAUCCCGCGAACCAUCGAGUCUUUGAACGCAAGUUGCGCCCGAGGUCUUUUGGCUGAGGGCACGCCUGCCUGGGCGUCACG